AAGAUGAACUCGCAUGGAUCCGUGAAAAAGAGCCUCUUGUUUCGUCCACCAACACUGGGAAAGAUCUUUUUGGUGCACARAACCUGUCCAAAAAACACCAUGCGCUUAUGACUGAAAUAGCUGGACAUGAGCCUCGAAUCAGAUCUGUACAUGAGAGUGGA